rnacentral:tmRNA from 1 species
GACAACCAAAGUCAACUAAGCAUGUAGAAAGUACGGGUUCAUCUUCUCUGGACCAGGGUUCGAUUCCCUGCGACUCCACCA